GAUGAACGCUGGCGGCGUGCUUAACACAUGCAAGUCGAACGAAACACCUUAUUUGAUUUUCUUCGGAACUGAAGAUUUGGUGAUUGAGUGGCGGACGGGUGAGUAACGCGUGGGUAACCUGCCCUGUACAGGGGGAUAACAGUCAGAAAUGACUGCUAAUACCGCAUAAGACCACAGCACCGCAUGGUGCAGGGGUAAAAACUCCGGUGGUACAGGAUGGACCCGCGUCUGAUUAGCUGGUUGGUGAGGUAACGGCUCACCAAGGCGACGAUCAGUAGCCGGCUUGAGAGAGUGAACGGCCACAUUGGGACUGAGACACGGCCCAAACUCCUACGGGAGGCAGCAGUGGGGAAUAUUGCACAAUGGGGGAAAACCUGAUGCAGCGACGCCGCGUGAGUGAAGAAGUAUUUCGGUAUGUAAAGCUCUAUCAGCAGGGAAGAAAAUGACGGUACCUGACUAAGAAGCCCCGGCUAACUACGUG
rnacentral:rRNA from 1 species